GGGUUGUGAGGUUAAGCGACUAAGCGUACACGGUGGAUGCCCUGGCAGUCAGAGGCGAUGAAGGACGUGCUAAUCUGCGAUAAGCGUCGGUAAGGUGAUAUGAACCGUUAUAACCGGCGAUUUCCGAAUGGGGAAACCCAGUGUGUUUCGACACACUAUCAUUAACUGAAUCCAUAGGUUAAUGAGGCGAACCGGGGGAACUGAAACAUCUAAGUACCCCGAGGAAAAGAAAUCAACCGAGAUUCCCCCAGUAGCGGCGAGCGAACGGGGAGCAGCCCAGAGCCUGAAUCAGUGUGUGUGUUAGUGGAAGCGUCUGGAAAGGCGCGCGAUACAGGGUGACAGCCCCGUACACAAAAAUGCACAUGCUGUGAGCUCGAUGAGUAGGGCGGGACACGUGGUAUCCUGUCUGAAUAUGGGGGGACCAUCCUCCAAGGCUAAAUACUCCUGACUGACCGAUAGUGAACCAGUACCGUGAGGGAAAGGCGAAAAGAACCCCGGCGAGGGGAGUGAAAAAGAACCUGAAACCGUGUACGUACAAGCAGUGGGAGCACGCUUCGGCGUGUGACUGCGUACCUUUUGUAUAAUGGGUCAGCGACUUAUAUUCUGUAGCAAGGUUAACCGAAUAGGGGAGCCGAAGGGAAACCGAGUCUUAACUGGGCGUUAAGUUGCAGGGUAUAGACCCGAAACCCGGUGAUCUAGCCAUGGGCAGGUUGAAGGUUGGGUAACACUAACUGGAGGACCGAACCGACUAAUGUUGAAAAAUUAGCGGAUGACUUGUGGCUGGGGGUGAAAGGCCAAUCAAACCGGGAGAUAGCUGGUUCUCCCCGAAAGCUAUUUAGGUAGCGCCUCGUGAAUUCAUCUCCGGGGGUAGAGCACUGUUUCGGCAAGGGGGUCAUCCCGACUUACCAACCCGAUGCAAACUGCGAAUACCGGAGAAUGUUAUCACGGGAGACACACGGCGGGUGCUAACGUCCGUCGUGAAGAGGGAAACAACCCAGACCGCCAGCUAAGGUCCCAAAGUCAUGGUUAAGUGGGAAACGAUGUGGGAAGGCCCAGACAGCCAGGAUGUUGGCUUAGAAGCAGCCAUCAUUUAAAGAAAGCGUAAUAGCUCACUGGUCGAGUCGGCCUGCGCGGAAGAUGUAACGGGGCUAAACCAUGCACCGAAGCUGCGGCAGCGACGCUGAUGCGUUGUUGGGUAGGGGAGCGUUCUGUAAGCCUGCGAAGGUGUGCUGUGAGGCAUGCUGGAGGUAUCAGAAGUGCGAAUGCUGACAUAAGUAACGAUAAAGCGGGUGAAAAGCCCGCUCGCCGGAAGACCAAGGGUUCCUGUCCAACGUUAAUCGGGGCAGGGUGAGUCGACCCCUAAGGCGAGGCCGAAAGGCGUAGUCGAUGGGAAACAGGUUAAUAUUCCUGUACUUGGUGUUACUGCGAAGGGGGGACGGAGAAGGCUAUGUUGGCCGGGCGACGGUUGUCCCGGUUUAAGCGUGUAGGCUGGUUUUCCAGGCAAAUCCGGAAAAUCAAGGCUGAGGCGUGAUGACGAGGCACUACGGUGCUGAAGCAACAAAUGCCCUGCUUCCAGGAAAAGCCUCUAAGCAUCAGGUAACAUCAAAUCGUACCCCAAACCGACACAGGUGGUCAGGUAGAGAAUACCAAGGCGCUUGAGAGAACUCGGGUGAAGGAACUAGGCAAAAUGGUGCCGUAACUUCGGGAGAAGGCACGCUGAUAUGUAGGUGAAGUCCCUCGCGGAUGGAGCUGAAAUCAGUCGAAGAUACCAGCUGGCUGCAACUGUUUAUUAAAAACACAGCACUGUGCAAACACGAAAGUGGACGUAUACGGUGUGACGCCUGCCCGGUGCCGGAAGGUUAAUUGAUGGGGUCAGCGCAAGCGAAGCUCUUGAUCGAAGCCCCGGUAAACGGCGGCCGUAACUAUAACGGUCCUAAGGUAGCGAAAUUCCUUGUCGGGUAAGUUCCGACCUGCACGAAUGGCGUAAUGAUGGCCAGGCUGUCUCCACCCGAGACUCAGUGAAAUUGAACUCGCUGUGAAGAUGCAGUGUACCCGCGGCAAGACGGAAAGACCCCGUGAACCUUUACUAUAGCUUGACACUGAACAUUGAGCCUUGAUGUGUAGGAUAGGUGGGAGGCUUGGAAGUGUGGACGCCAGUCUGCAUGGAGCCGACCUUGAAAUACCACCCUUUAAUGUUUGAUGUUCUAACGUUGACCCGUAAUCCGGGUUGCGGACAGUGUCUGGUGGGUAGUUUGACUGGGGCGGUCUCCUCCUAAAGAGUAACGGAGGAGCACGAAGGUUGGCUAAUCCUGGUCGGACAUCAGGAGGUUAGUGCAAUGGCAUAAGCCAGCUUGACUGCGAGCGUGACGGCGCGAGCAGGUGCGAAAGCAGGUCAUAGUGAUCCGGUGGUUCUGAAUGGAAGGGCCAUCGCUCAACGGAUAAAAGGUACUCCGGGGAUAACAGGCUGAUACCGCCCAAGAGUUCAUAUCGACGGCGGUGUUUGGCACCUCGAUGUCGGCUCAUCACAUCCUGGGGCUGAAGUAGGUCCCAAGGGUAUGGCUGUUCGCCAUUUAAAGUGGUACGCGAGCUGGGUUUAGAACGUCGUGAGACAGUUCGGUCCCUAUCUGCCGUGGGCGCUGGAGAACUGAGGGGGGCUGCUCCUAGUACGAGAGGACCGGAGUGGACGCAUCACUGGUGUUCGGGUUGUCAUGCCAAUGGCACUGCCCGGUAGCUAAAUGCGGAAGAGAUAAGUGCUGAAAGCAUCUAAGCACGAAACUUGCCCCGAGAUGAGUUCUCCCUGACCCUUUAAGGGUCCUGAAGGAACGUUGAAGACGACGACGUUGAUAGGCCGGGUGUGUAAGCGCAGCGAUGCGUUGAGCUAACCGGUACUAAUGAACCGUGAGGCUUAACCUUACAACGCCGAAGCUGUU
rnacentral:rRNA from 1 species